rnacentral:lncRNA from 1 species
CGACAUUCGACUGAACGCGUCGGAAGAGACCCGACUACCGAACCUUUAUCCGGCGGUCGGUCGACUUCCGACUCAACGAACGCGCCCGACUCACGGUCGGGGGAAGGACGCCCGACUUACGACCUCGACCGUCGAAGGCCGAUCCAAAGUCGGGACUUGUUCUACCUUCGUGGCGGCGCGAGUUGCCGAACGUCCUAAACAACCUAUAUGAGUUGGCAACUUACGUGUUCAGAUGCAUUCUGCAACACAUGAAAGAAAGAAAGACAGGCAGAAGGAAAAAAGUUUAAGUCCAAGACUGAUUUCAUUCAAGGUC